CAUACGGUGUUAGCUGAAAAAUAUGCUAAUUGCGGUAUGGCUUCAAAUUGAGGU
rfam:[Haemophilus] felis strain CCTG 31170 31170T_ctg_0000029, whole genome shotgun sequence.